rnacentral:lncRNA from 1 species
UUCUCUAUGUCUCUGUUUGUCUCCCUUUUCAGUUAUGCUGUUAUGCUCACAGAUCUAUUUAAAUGAGUUAUCAAAAUUAAUCAAGCAUCAAAGCAUCUGAACCCAAAACUACGACAAAGGUUCACCAGGAUACCGCUACAAGUGGACAGCAAUGACAGACGAUAGAGAAGAAGGGACAACAAUCGUUGAGAUAUGUAAGAGACCCUCUUAUAAACUUAAGAAGUAUAAAUAUCUUUAUCAUUUUUUUGUCUCUUAUUUCUUCCCUUUCUAUGUUUUUCAUUUGGAUUUGGCAGUAAAAAAAUCAAUUUUUUUUAGAGACUACUCCUAGAAGGGAGACAAAAAUGAGAGGAAUAAAUCAUCUUAAGAUGCUCGAACCAGUGAUCAUGCAUGAAUCGACCAUCCUUGCUUCCGCCUUCCGGUAAGGUCACUCACAUCCAGAUUUGUAGAGACAAAUGGUAAAACCUAUGAUCGGGUCAGGCGGACUCAGGCCCAUUCCCAUCCAUCCCACUGAUUUCUUCGUAAAGGGCUUCAUCGUUGUUCUUGGAUUAAAGCUAAAUGUGGGAAGUUCGCUCUCUUGGCCGUAGAGGUGUGGAAGAAGCGAAGCGGCGUGGCAGAGAAACAGACGACCUCGACGACACUGGAUUUCAAAUCUCGAUUUCUCUGGCUAAGAUCCCGUUCGUGGACGACGGAGGAGAUGCGAUGUCGACGGUUUCUAGGAUUUAUGCGGAACGAGGCUUGACGGAGCUCCGGUUUGUGUCGGGCAGGGUUUGGAGGGUACAAAGUGGUUUCAAGCGGACCAGCUGUAAACGUUUGUCAUGGCGUCUUAGGAGCUCCGGUGAUGUCUUCGGAUGACUUCUUCGGGUCGCGCCCCCGACGUCCUAAAGAGUGACCGCUGGAGUGGUGUUGAUUGAAAGGAGAUGUUAACUCAACCGCCCUUGAUGGCGAGAGGUAAAGAUUCAAGUCAAAGUGGUCGGGUUGCUAGAGGACGGCUCUCUGGCGUUUAGAUCUAGGGUUUUCUGCCUAACCGGUUUAAUCUGGUUUAGCUCUAGAUUAUUUUUAUUUUUUUUCACCCAAUUCUGAAAUUGUAAACUAAGGAAUUUUUAC